rnacentral:rRNA from 1 species
CGGGACACGUGGUAUCCUGUCUGAAUAUGGGGGGACCAUCCUCCAAGGCUAAAUACUCCUGACUGACCGAUAGUGAACCAGUACCGUGAGGGAAAGGCGAAAAGAACCCCGGCGAGGGGAGUGAAAAAGAACCUGAAACCGUGUACGUACAAGCAGUGGGAGCACGCUUAGGCGUGUGACUGCGUACCUUUUGUAUAAUGGGUCAGCGACUUAUAUUCUGUAGCAAGGUUAACCGAAUAGGGGAGCCGAAGGGAAACCGAGUCUUAACUGGGCGUUAAGUUGCAGGGUAUAGACCCGAAACCCGGUGAUCUAGCCAUGGGCAGGUUGAAGGUUGGGUAACACUAACUGGAGGACCGAACCGACUAAUGUUGAAAAAUUAGCGGAUGACUUGUGGCUGGGGGUGAAAGGCCAAUCAAACCGGGAGAUAGCUGGUUCUCCCCGAAAGCUAUUUAGGUAGCGCCUCGUGAAUUCAUCUCCGGGGGUAGAGCACUGUUUCGGCAAGGGGGUCAUCCCGACUUACCAACCCGAUGCAAACUGCGAAUACCGGAGAAUGUUAUCACGGGAGACACACGGCGGGUGCUAACGUCCGUCGUGAAGAGGGAAACAACCCAGACCGCCAGCUAAGGUCCCAAAGUCAUGGUUAAGUGGGAAACGAUGUGGGAAGGCCCAGACAGCCAGGAUGUUGGCUUAGAAGCAGCCAUCAUUUAAAGAAAGCGUAAUAGCUCACUGGUCGAGUCGGCCUGCGCGGAAGAUGUAACGGGGCUAAACCAUGCACCGAAGCUGCGGCAGCGACGCUGAUGCGUUGUUGGGUAGGGGAGCGUUCUGUAAGCCUGCGAAGGUGUGCUGUGAGGCAUGCUGGAGGUAUCAGAAGUGCGAAUGCUGACAUAAGUAACGAUAAAGCGGGUGAAAAGCCCGCUCGCCGGAAGACCAAGGGUUCCUGUCCAACGUUAAUCGGGGCAGGGUGAGUCGACCCCUAAGGCGAGGCCGAAAGGCGUAGUCGAUGGGAAACAGGUUAAUAUUCCUGUACUUGGUGUUACUGCGAAGGGGGGACGGAGAAGGCUAUGUUGGCCGGGCGACGGUUGUCCCGGUUUAAGCGUGUAGGCUGGUUUUCCAGGCAAAUCCGGAAAAUCAAGGCUGAGGCGUGAUGACGAGGCACUACGGUGCUGAAGCAACAAAUGCCCUGCUUCCAGGAAAAGCCUCUAAGCAUCAGGUAACAUCAAAUCGUACCCCAAACCGACACAGGUGGUCAGGUAGAGAAUACCAAGGCGCUUGAGAGAACUCGGGUGAAGGAACUAGGCAAAAUGGUGCCGUAACUUCGGGAGAAGGCACGCUGAUAUGUAGGUGAAGUCCCUCGCGGAUGGAGCUGAAAUCAGUCGAAGAUACCAGCUGGCUGCAACUGUUUAUUAAAAACACAGCACUGUGCAAACACGAAAGUGGACGUAUACGGUGUGACGCCUGCCCGGUGCCGGAAGGUUAAUUGAUGGGGUCAGCGCAAGCGAAGCUCUUGAUCGAAGCCCCGGUAAACGGCGGCCGUAACUAUAACGGUCCUAAGGUAGCGAAAUUCCUUGUCGGGUAAGUUCCGACCUGCACGAAUGGCGUAAUGAUGGCCAGGCUGUCUCCACCCGAGACUCAGUGAAAUUGAACUCGCUGUGAAGAUGCAGUGUACCCGCGGCAAGACGGAAAGACCCCGUGAACCUUUACUAUAGCUUGACACUGAACAUUGAGCCUUGAUGUGUAGGAUAGGUGGGAGGCUUUGAAGUGUGGACGCCAGUCUGCAUGGAGCCGACCUUGAAAUACCACCCUUUAAUGUUUGAUGUUCUAACGUUGACCCGUGAUCCGGGUUGCGGACAGUGUCUGGUGGGUAGUUUGACUGGGGCGGUCUCCUCCUAAAGAGUAACGGAGGAGCACGAAGGUUGGCUAAUCCUGGUCGGACAUCAGGAGGUUAGUGCAAUGGCAUAAGCCAGCUUGACUGCGAGCGUGACGGCGCGAGCAGGUGCGAAAGCAGGUCAUAGUGAUCCGGUGGUUCUGAAUGGAAGGGCCAUCGCUCAACGGAUAAAAGGUACUCCGGGGAUAACAGGCUGAUACCGCCCAAGAGUUCAUAUCGACGGCGGUGUUUGGCACCUCGAUGUCGGCUCAUCACAUCCUGGGGCUGAAGUAGGUCCCAAGGGUAUGGCUGUUCGCCAUUUAAAGUGGUACGCGAGCUGGGUUUAGAACGUCGUGAGACAGUUCGGUCCCUAUCUGCCGUGGGCGCUGGAGAACUGAGGGGGGCUGCUCCUAGUACGAGAGGACCGGAGUGGACGCAUCACUGGUGUUCGGGUUGUCAUGCCAAUGGCACUGCCCGGUAGCUAAAUGCGGAAGAGAUAAGUGCUGAAAGCAUCUAAGCACGAAACUUGCCCCGAGAUGAGUUCUCCCUGACUCCUUGAGAGUCCUGAAGGAACGUUGAAGACGACGACGUUGAUAGGCCGGGUGUGUAAGCGCAGCGAUGCGUUGAGCUAACCGGUACUAAUGAACCGUGAGGCUUAACCUU